rnacentral:rRNA from 1 species
UACGUAGGGGGCAAGCGUUGUCCGGAUUUAUUGGGCGUAAAGAGCGUGUAGGCGGCCAGAUAGGUCCGUUGUGAAAACUCGGGGCUUAACCCCGAGCCUGCAGUGGAUACGGGCAGACUAGAGGUAGGUAGGGGGAGAAUGGAAUUCCCGGUGUAGCGGUGAAAUGCGCAGAUAUCGGGAGGAACACCGGUGGCGAAGGCGGUUCUCUGGGCCUUACCUGACGCUGAGGAGCGAAAGCGUGGGGAGCGAACAGG